GAAUGUGAAAUUAGGGUUACCUUGGCUGCGGCGUUCCCAAUCCCUUCGUCUCAGACCUUCUCUUUCUCGUUUUCAAACGGUGUUUUCUUCCCUUCUCCGGCGACGCAAUCUUGAACGAUACCGUGACCAGUCACCACCACACGCCUUCACCUCUCCGAUUCUCAUACGAAACGCUCGAAAAGAUGCCUCAAAUCGAAAUGGGAUUCACAACCCUCAAACUCUUGCUUUUAUCUUCUUCUUGAUUCUUCUUCGGUUUCUCCUUCUUCUUUGUGUUGUUGUUCGCAGAACCGUUUGUUGAAUGUCGUUGCAGAGAUGACGAUUGUGCGAUUUUCAGAGUUGAAUAAGGAUUAUGCAGAAUCUUGAAGUGGUGAAGAUUUGACGGUUAAGGAAUCGGUGAAGGUUGACGAUGGAGAAGGUUCAGAGAUUGAAGAAUGCAUCGGUGUUGUGAAGAUGAGCGAUGGAGAAUUGGCGUCGAGAACUUUUCUCGGUGAUUUCGUAGUGAAGAUGAGCAAUGAAGUUCCGAGGAAAGAGUUUUUUUCUUUUGAAGAAUUGGUGGUGAUGAAGGGAGGUUGUGAAAAAUGGCUAUGGUGAAUGGGAGCAGAGAAGAAUGGCAGAAGAGACGAGUGAAGAGAAUCGGGAGAAUGAUGGAAGUGAAUGAAGAACAAAAAAUGGUGGAAGAAAGUGGAGAGUGAAGAUUGAAGAAUUGGUGGAGAGCGAUGAAGGGAGAAGGGAGAGAGUGAGAAGUGAAGUGAAGAUGAAAAAUGGUGGAGAGAGCUGAAUGAAGGUGGAGGUCCUGAUUUUAUAGCAAUGAAGGGAUGAUCUGAAUUUGAUUAUGCAGGUUUUGGAUGGAAAUUGAAUUCUGUGAGGAGUGGUUUAUAUCUGUUUGGAUCGGCUGCAGGUUUAAUGGCAUGGAAGUCUACAAACUUGGCAUUAGCUCAUGGAGGACAAGGUUCGUGAAUCAUGGGAGCUUAAGGCUUGGUGAUUAAAACUCGAAGACGGGACAAGAAUGGAACUAAGGCUUGGUUGCGAGGAUCUAUAUUUAGAACAACUUUUUGUAUUUAAAUAGAUUUGGAUGAAUAUGUAUAAUUUGAAUGUUAGGAAGUGGAUAUUUGAAUGGUUGUUGAAUGGAUUGAGGAUGGAUUGUAUUUUGUAAAGAGUUUACAAAAUAAUGUUUGGAUUGGAAUGUAUGAACAAUUAGUCUUUUUUUGUAAUGAUAUGGAUAAUGAAGGAUGAAAUGGAGUUGUAUAAACAUGUAUUGGUAUUUUGUUUGAACUUUGAGAUGGAUGAAGCUUGUAAUGAUGAUAAUGAAUUUGAAGAAGCCAACCCUAAACGAAUCUUGCACAGGGAAUUUGAUAGAAUUUUCUUAAAUCACCAAUGACAUUUGUAUGAAUCUUGAAUGAAGAUCUUUGAGUCAAACUUAUAC